UAGACAUGAAAUCGCGAAAAGCUAAGGUAACCGACAAGGAGAGAGAACAUCUUAUCUAGCGUGAGAAUCUAUCUGACAAUGGAGGAAAUCGGAGACGAAGUAACAGUGUCGGCUCCGGCGCCGGCGCUGAGGCUGAAGUGGGACGUGUUCCUAAGCUUCAGAGGCGAAGACACGCGGGAUAACAUCACCGAUCACCUCUACACCGCCCUCUACUCCGCCGGCGUCCGAGUUUUCCGGGACAACGACGGAUUGAAUCAGGAAGACGAGAUAGCGCCGGGACUGGUGGAGGCGAUCGAGGACUCGGCGGCGACGAUUGUGAUCUUAUCGCCCAACUACGCUUCUUCGCGGUGGUGCUUGGAGGAGCUGGCUAGGGUUUGUGAGCUCCGGCGACUGGUUCUCCCGGGUCGAUCCGUCGGACGUGCGGCGACAGAGGGGAUCGUUCGAGGAGGGUUUUAAAAAGCAUGAAGGAAGGUUUGGAGUGGAAAAUGUGGAGAGAUGGAGAAAGGCCAUGGAAAGAGUUGGCGGAACUAAGGGUUGGGUCUUCCAUGAUAGGUGUAGCAGAGAUCAAGAGAAGGCUUCGAGAGAAGCGUGUUUUCCUGAUCCUGGAUGAUGUUGAUGAUAUGAACAUACUCAAGUCGCUAGCUGGUGAUAGAGAGUGGUUUUUUGAAGGAAGCAGGGUUAUAAUCACUACCAGAAACAAAGAAAUUUUGCAGAGUGAGAUUGUGAGUGAAAGCUAAGAGUUAAGGGAAUUGGGCUCUUCUGAUUCACUUACACUUUUCAGCCACCAUGCAUUCAGAAGAGAAAUGCCUCCUUCAUCAGGGCCUUUUCUUGCUCUCUCCAAACAGAUUGUUUCUGUUACGGGCGGCUUGCCGUUGGCUCUAGAAGUGUUUGGUUCUUUCCUGUAUGUGUGAUAAGAGAAGAGUGGAUGAAUGGAAAGAUGCCGUCGAAAAGCUGAAGCAGAUUGGUUUAGACCCUCUUCAGAACGUCCUGAAAGUAAGCUAUGAUGGGCUUGAUGAUGAGGAGAAGUGUAUAUUCCUUGACGUUGCGUGUUUGUUUCUUGAUCUAGAAAUGAAGAAAGAGGAAGUGAUAGAUGUGAUGAAGGGGUGUGGUUUUAGAGGUGAAGUUGCACUGACAACCUUAGCCACAAGAUCUUUGAUUAAGGUUGUUGAGAAUGAUGAGCUGUGGAUGCAUGAUUCAAUCAGAGACAUGGGAAUGCAACUUGUUGUUCAACAAGGCCUUUCGGAUCAAGGUAAACGCAGUAGGCUUUGGGAUCAUGAUGAUGUCUUGAGUGUCUUGCAGGAUAGAAAGGGAACUCGAGAAGUCGAAGGGAUCAUCCUGGACUUGGAGAAGAAGAAGAAAAUCUCAAAGAUCAGCAGUGCCAAAAGGAUUGCCAGUACCCAACUUCACUUCUGCUCUAACAUACCUAAGAGAGAUGUACAAGCAGCAGGGCUUCCUCAGAAAUGAUUCAAACAAUGUGAUAGUAAGAUCAGAAUCAUUUGAUCCAAUGGUUAAUCUAAGGCUUCUUCAGUUUAGCGAUGUGAAAGUCGAAGGAAAUGUUGGGAAAUUACCCAACUCACUAAGAUGGCUUCAAUGGAGAAACUGUCCCCUAAAAACCUUUCCUUCUAACUUUUAUCCAAGGGAACUUGCUGUCCUGGACCUCUCAGAAAGCCCAAUACUAAGUGUUGGGAACUGGAAAUGGAGUUGGAAUAGCAAAAAGGAGACGAAUAGGUUGAAGGUUAUGAAUCUCCGCGGUUGCUAUAACAUAACAGCACUUCCUGAUUUAUCUGCCCAUAAAGCACUGGAAAAGCUCAUACAUACUUAAGCUUUGUACUUGUUUGAAAAGCAUCCACAAAUCAAUCGGGGACUUAAAGGCGUUACGCCAUUUGAAUCUAGAACGCUGUUCAGAGCUGAUAGAAUUUCCAGCUGAUGUCUCCGGGCUCAAAAAUCUUGAAAUUCUUAUCCUCUCCGGUUGCUCGAGACUUAAACGUCUGCCUGGAAACAUUGGGUGCAUGAAUGCUUUAAGAGAACUUCUGGUGGAUGGGACUGCUGUAGAGAAGUUACCCGAAAGCAUUUUUCGGUUAACGAAGCUUGAAAGGCUUAGUUUAGCCAAUUGCCACUCACUAAAACAGCUACCCAGAUGCAUAGGAAAUCUGUGUUCUUUGGAAUAUCUCUCCCUUUAUAUAUGCUUCUGGAGUGGAGUUAAUACCUGAUUCUAUAGGCUCUCUGGGCAAUCUUGACACACUGAAUUUACAGUGGUGUAGAUCAAUGGCUGUGAUUCCCAGUUCUGUGGGCAACCUUAAAUCAUUAGCAAAUCUCUAUCUUAAUGGCAGUGCAAUACAAUUUCUGCCAGAAUCAAUUGGUUCAUUAUACUACCUGAGGGCCUUAAAAGUUGGCUCGUGUGGGUAUCCGACCAACUUGCCUGAUUCCAUCAAAGGCUUAUCUUCCAUGGUUGAGCUUCAACUAGAUAAGACAGAAAUCCCUCGACUUCCUUCUGAGAUAAGAGACUAUAAGCAUCUUUGCCUCCUUCCUGAAUCAAUUGGAAAUUUGUUGGCUCUCAACACCUUGUUCAUAACAAGUACAGUUCUGCUAUAAAGGAUCGGAGUUGCCCGAAUCGUUGGGGAUGCUAGAAAAUCUUAUUAUCAUGAGAUUGAACCAUUGUAAGCAGCUAUCUAGCCUUCCAUCCUCGAUCGGGCAUUUGAAAAACUUACGCCAUCUCAUAAUGGAGCACACAUCUGUGGCAGCACUACCUAAGACAUUUGGGAUGCUUUCAAACUUAAUGGUAUUGAAAAUGGGGAAGAAACCUUUUCAGCCAAUAUCUCACACCACUAAUACUACUACCCUUUCGUUUUCUUUCUCGAAGCUUUCCCUUUUGGAAUUGAAGAAUUCGAUGCUGGUGGAUGGAGAAUAUCUGAUGAGUUUGGGCAAUUGUCAUCCUUAGAGACACUGAAUCUGAGUCACAAUCAUAUUUCUGGCCUCCCUUCUAGUAUGAGAGGAAAUUGUGUGUUGAAAAAGCUUGUUAUCUCCCAUUGCAAAUUGCUAAUAGCUCUCCCUUCCCUUCCCUUCCCUCGAGUUUGGUUGAGCUAAAUGCUGCAAACUGCAUAGCAUUAGAAACCAUAUUUGAUCUUUCGAAUUUGCAGAAUCUAACCUCACAAAUUGCGAGAGACUGGUAGAUGUACCGGGCAUUGAAAAUAUGAACAGCUUGAGAAUGUUGCAUAUGAGUGGAUGCACUUCCUGCGCUUCUCUCAUUGGUACCAAACUUCAUAAGGAUGCUGUGAAGAAGCUGUACAGUUUCAGCAUUCCUGGAAGCGAAAUCCCAAGGUGAGGUUCGCUUCUCGAGCCGAAGAAACAUUGGGAUUAAAGGUGUGAUUGUGAGUGUUGUUGUUUCUGUCAACCAUCAAAUACCAGAUGAUCUAAGGGACGAGCUGCCUGUUAUACCAAAUAUCCAUGCUAAAAUCCUGAGGGUGAAUGAAGCAGUAUAUACUAGUGCAAUGUACUUAGUUGGGGUUCCCAGAAAAGCUGAGGAUAACUUGUAUUUAUGCCAUUAGUUUCUGAGCUAAAAGAUGGAGAUACUAUACAGGUAGGGAUGAGUAGUGGCUUACCCAUUCAAGGGAUUGAGUUGAAGGAGUGUGGGAUACAUUUAGUUUUUGAAAACGAUGACGAUUAUGGGGGCAUUGAAGAAUCUUUGGAGGAAAAGCAGCAAUCUGUGUCAGAAAAGUUGACAAGGUUUAUUGGAUCUUCUUCUUCUUCUUCUUCUUCUUCUUCUUCUGUUGUAAAUGGCAACCAUACUUCAAGCUCAACUACUGUGGGAGGAGGAUGGAGUUUACUUGGUUUUCUUCAGGACAUGUUCUGCUUCUGGAAGAACCUCUGGGAUGGAUUCAGAUCUCCAUCAACAUGAGAAAAUUGGGCUGAACAUAUAAUAUACUCUAAGUUUAACUGUCACCAGAAAGUGCAAUAACUAACAGGGACAUCACAAGUUGACUUUUAUUAUUAUUAUUUUUUUG